CAUCGCGGGCGGCGACGGCGGCUGCUGCUGCCGCAGAGUCGCGGGGGAGAGGCGCCGGUAGACGAGGAGGAGGAGAAGAAGGAGCAGCUGCCGCCCGUGGAAAAGUUUGCGAAACUCCUGCCAACCGUGUGCAUGAGGUCUCCUCGCAUCAAUCCAUCCGCGCGGGCUCCGGGCCCCUCCAGCCCCCGGGAGCUGAAACCGGCGGGGCCGCGGGACGAAGCAGGCGCGCCCCGGGGCCGUCCCGUGCCCCCCACCAGCUGCUCCCGGCUUGGCGACGGCGGCGACGGCGCCCGGAGAGCCCCAUUCACUGAUGAUGCUCAGUUACUGAUGGAAGUCAGGUAGUCUGGGGUGGCUGAGGUGGAGACCUUGCAUGCACUGUACAGAGUGCUGCUGCACUGCGUGAUUGCUGGGGAAACCAGUUCAGAUCAGUGCUGGAUAUGCAACUGGAAAGAAGGGUAUAUUUGGUCCAGGCGUACAGAAACAGGCUGAGAGGGGGAAUCGCAAUGAGUCAAAAUCACCUCCUGUUUGUGGGGCAGGGGCCUUCUGAGCCUCCCGACCGCGGCAGCAAGAAUAGCUGGCUGUCCCCGUGGGGCUGCCCUCUGCGGACAGCUGGGGUGUGAGCUCUGCCACCUCCCAGCUCCCCCGUUCCUCUGCAAAAACCAUCCAGCUCUGCUGUGUUUCAUUUCUGAAGCAGCAAGCAGGCCGUACUUUGUGAGGAAUGGCAGCAGCUGAACUCAGGACCUCCCAGGAGGGGGAGUAGAGGAGCCUUUGCUGCAGACCUCGCUUCCUUGCCUGGCUGGGAAGAGACUGUGUAAUACUGCCUGAGCAGGAGAGUCAGUGCAUGGUCCCACGAGUGCCGACAGGCUUCCCUGGACAGUCACCCUGGGGACAGCGUUCCCGUGGCCUGCCAGUCUGACAGCACGGCACUAUCUGUAGGCUGAGAUUUUCACAUACACCUUUCUGGCAAAGAAAUAUAUGUAUUCUGGUAAAGAAAUAUAUGGUAAAAAUAAUAAUGGACAUGUCAACUUUAAAGUAUGGAAUUUAUUAUCUUUGGUAUCAUACAGCUGACAAAAAAUACUGCCACAGAAUAGCUGGGCGCUUCAUUUUUCCAGACCUAUUAGCCAUAUAGAAUAUAGUCACAUACAUCCAAGUUUAUAUAUCCUUUGUCAAUAAA
rnacentral:lncRNA from 1 species